rnacentral:rRNA from 1 species
UUGGAGGGCAAGUCUGGUGCCAGCAGCCGCGGUAAUUCCAGCUCCAAUAGCGUAUAUUAAAGUUGUUGCAGUUAAAAAGCUCGUAGUUGAAUUUCGGGAUUCUACCGUUGGUCGGGCUAACAAGUCUGUACUGGUGUGUAGAAUUUCUACCUUCUGGGGAACUAUCAUGUUAUUAAUUUAGCGUGGUGGGAAACCAGGACCUUUACCUUGAAAAAAUUAGAGUGUUCAAAGCAGGCUUACGUCUGAAUACAUUAGCAUGGAAUAAUAGAAUAGGACGGUGGUCCUGUUUUGUUGGUUUCUGAAUCACCGUAAUGAUUAAUAGGGAUAGUUGGGGGCAUUAGUAUUCAAUUGUCAGAGGUGAAAUUCUUGGAUUUAUUGAAGACUAACUUCUGCGAAAGCAUUUGCCAAGGAUGUUUUCAUUAAUCAAGAACGAAAGUUAGGGGAUCGAAGACGAUCAGAUACCGUCGUAGUCUUAACCAUAAACUAUGCCGACUAGGGAUCGGACGAUGUUAAAUUUUAUUGACUCGUUCGGCGCCUUACGGGCAGUCGACUGCC